rnacentral:rRNA from 1 species
AUUCCGGUUGAUCCUGCCGGAGGCCAUUGCUAUCGGAGUCCGAUUUAGCCAUGCUAGUCGUGCGAGUUCAGACUCGCGGCACCGAGCUCAGUAACACGUGGCCAAACUACCCUACAGAGACGGAUACCCUCGGGAAACUGAGGUUAACCCGUCAUACCGAUCUCAGGCUUGAAUCGCAGAGAUCACAAAACGCCCCGGCGCUGUAGGAUGUGGCUGCGGUUGAUUAGGUAGACGGUGGGGUAACGGCCCACCGUGCCCAUAAUCAGUACAGGUUGUGAGAGCAAGAACCUGGAGACGGAAUCUGAGACAAGAUUCCGGGCCCUACGGGGCGCAGCAGGCGCGAAACCUUUACACUGCACGCACGUGCGAUAAGGGGACUCCGAGUGCGC